rnacentral:rRNA from 1 species
UACGUAGGGGGCAAGCGUUGUCCGGAUUUAUUGGGCGUAAAGAGCGUGUAGGCGGCUGGGUAGGUCCGUUGUGAAAACUCGAGGCUCAACCUCGAGACGCCGAUGGAAACCCCCCAGCUAGAGUCCGGAAGAGGAGAGUGGAAUUCCUGGUGUAGCGGUGAAAUGCGCAGAUAUCAGGAGGAACACCGAUGGCGAAGGCAGGUCUCUGGGCCACUACUGACGCUGAGAAGCGAAAGCAUGGGGAGCGAACAGG